rnacentral:rRNA from 1 species
UGCGUAGGCGGGUUUCUAAGUCAGAGGUGAAAGCCUGGAGCUCAACUCCAGAACUGCCUUUGAUACUGGAAGUCUUGAGUAUGGCAGAGGUGAGUGGAACUGCGAGUGUAGAGGUGAAAUUCGUAGAUAUCCGCAAGAACACCAGUGGCGAAGGCGGCUCACUGGGCCAUUACUGACGCUGAGGCACGAAAGCGUGGGGAGCAAACA